AUUUGGCUACAUGUGUUUCAUCUGAAAUGAUGUUCUUGUAGAAGGAUGAGCACAUUUACGGGGUUAUCUUAAUGAAGGAGGAAAAUCUUGGACUAGUAUUGCAAUUUUCCCGACGAAUGCUUGAUGAAUGUUUCAUAAUCUGAAAAGAUUAAUUGUUUUAGAGAUGUUGCCUCUUUCACUAUGUACUAACUCCGGGAAAGUAGCAAUGCAUGAGAUAUCAAGAUGUGUUCAUGACUGACAGUGCAUGGCCAUGUUCAACAUCUGGUAUGGCAGCAACAGCAACACAUUUUGCGAGACAAGUAGGCACAGCUGUAAAGGAGAAAAUUGGAAGGACAAAAAGAGCACAAGUACCAUGGUACACCUCUCUGAUGGCUGCUGCUUCUCGUGCACUUGUUGAAAGGUUACCAUUGGUGGAUCUCAUUGUUGAAGUCAGAGAUGCAAGGAUUCCUUUGUCUUCAGAAUGUGAGUUAUUAAGAAACAACCUAUGCUCCUCUAGGCAAAUUAUAGCACUGAACAAAGCGGAUCUUGCUGGUCGAUCUGGUUCGCAAGCAUGGACUGAUUAUUUUAGGAGAACAAAUUGCAUAUCAUGUGGAGUCGACGCUCAUAACAAGGAGAGCACCAAAGAGCUUUUGGGCCUUAUACAGCGGCAAGUGAGAGAAUUGAUGGGAACUAGUCAUGCUAAUUAUACUGCAACAGUGAUGUUAAUUGGAAUUCCAAAUGUUGGAAAGUCAGCUCUUGCCAAUUCCUUGCAUCAAGUGGGGAGAAUUAGUGCAGCAGAAAAAGGAAAGUUGAGGCAUGCAACUGUGAGUCCAGAACCUGGGGAGACUAAAGACAUAAGAAGUUUUAAGAUUGGUAGUCAUCCCAAUAUUUUUGUCUUAGACACACCAUCUGUUUUAUCUCCUGAUGUUCCUGACGUUGAAGUACUAUCAAAACUAAUUUUAACAGGAACAAUCGGAGAUUGUUUGGUCAGUAGAAAAGAAAUUGCUAAAUAUUUUCUGGCGAUUCUUAACUCUAGUGAGCAAUACAAGAAAUGGGUAAAAUUAUCAAGUGAUAAUACUGUCGGAAUAUACCACGGUAUUCCAACAGGGUGUUUGACUUUUUCUGAGUUUGAAGGAAAGAAGAAAAAGCAAAUUCCAACUGAUCACACGCAGGAUGACAUAGUGUGCCAUGUUCGGCGAACCCUUUUUGAAACAGUUUCAUCUUUUGAUGGAAACAUAAGCUAUGAAGAUGAAAUGGGAACACUUAUUGCUAGGCAGUUUGCUGCAUUGCAAGAAGCCUUCCAUGUUUCAGCUGAAUGUGGAGAAGAUGCUCAUGUCAAGGUUGCUGGGAAGUUGCUUAAUCUUUUCCGCACGGGUCGACUUGGACAUUACAUUUUGGAUCAUCUUCCAUAAAAUUUCACUAAUCAUUGCAGUCAAUCCACUGGAUAAUAAUAAUAAUCUCUUCAAUUUAUUCAUAUUCAUCCCUGAAGUUAUACUCCGGGAUCCAAAGUCGUCCUUCAAGCACUCUUCGUCCGCGAGACGCCAUCAGAAAGUUGAUCUGAACUAAUUUCUGACAUGCUGGGAAGACAACAGAUAGCUGACCUGGCUCUAGAAUCUUUUUUAUGGUAAUUUGGUCCCUGAACCAAAUUUAAAAACCCUAAUCCCCAAAUUAGCUUCACCAUAUCCAAAAUUUCUCAUUAUGUGUUCUGCUUGAUUAUCUACUUCAUCUCCAAAUUGAAAUGAUGAUGAGUAGCGUGAGUAAUGUGGUUGGGAGCUCGAACAACCUAUGCUCCAAUGGAAGCAUUGCUAGGAGAAUCAUCAGUCGCGUUUUUCAUAUUGGUGUGGGUGUGGGUCGCAAUCGGUUCUGUGAUGGUCAAGAACGGAUACUAACCCAGGAAUGCCCUUCUUUGGUUGCUCAAACUAUAAUGUAAGUGGUUGUUCUUAUUUGUUGUGUUUCUGGAUAUAAAGUUGUCACAUUGACUUCCAAUCUUUCUUGAAUGUGGGUAUAAACGGUAGGUAAGAGGUGGUGUGGGCCGUUUUUGUAGACAGAUAAAAUUAAGGAAAAAAAUGUUGACAACAAUUAAUGGCAUAAUAGGUCCUUUGAUCGACAAUGAAAAAUAGAAGAUGAAGAUUGCGUAGAAGCUUAGAAGCCUCGAGUCUGAAGUUAAGAUUCUAAAAUUAGGUGGGGCUCUGUUGUUUGUAUGCAUGUUGGUUAUUAGGUAGUGGAUCCUCUCCAGUGAAUAAAAAACUGGAUGGUGUGCAGUGUUUAAUCUAACCAUUCACCACACUCUCUUUCUUAUUUAUUUCUGGUCCCACUAUUAAAAUCAAAGGUGAGAGAUUGCACUGUAUUUUGUCAAGUGUUGAAAAAACUGGAGAGGAUCCAUUUCCUUGGUUAUUAUAGUUAUUUUUUUUUAA